rnacentral:rRNA from 1 species
UACGUAGGGUGCAAGCGUUGUCCGGAAUUAUUGGGCGUAAAGCGCGUGUAGGCGGCUUUGCAAGUCGGGUGUGAAAUCCCUCAGCUUAACUGAGGAAGUGCGCCCGAAACUGCCGAGCUUGAGUACCGGAGAGGGUGGCGGAAUUCCCCAAGUAGAGGUGAAAUUCGUAGAUAUGGGGAGGAACACCGGUGGCGAAGGCGGCCACCUGGACGGAUACUGACGCUGAGACGCGAAAGCGUGGGGAGCAAACAGG